rnacentral:rRNA from 1 species
GACGAACGCUGGCGGCGUGCUUAACACAUGCAAGUCGAGCGGUAAGGCCCUUUCGGGGGUACACGAGCGGCGAACGGGUGAGUAACACGUGGGUGACCUGCCCUCAGCUCUGGGAUAAGCCUGGGAAACCGGGUCUAAUACCGGAUAUGACUCCAUGACGCAUGUUGUGGGGUGGAAAGCCUUGUGCGGCUGAGGAUGGGCCCGCGGCCUAUCAGCUUGUUGGUGGGGUGAUGGCCCACCAAGGCGACGACGGGUAGCCGGCCUGAGAGGGCGACCGGCCACACUGGGACUGAGACACGGCCCAGACUCCUACGGGAGGCAGCAGUGGGGAAUAUUGCGCAAUGGGCGAAAGCCUGACGCAGCGACGCCGCGUGUGGGAUGACGGCCUGGUUGUAAC